rnacentral:rRNA from 1 species
AUUGAACGCUGGCAGCAGGCCUAACACAUGCAAGUCGAACGAAGUCUUCGGACUUAGUGGCGGACGGGUGAGUAACACGUGGGAACGUACCUUUUGGUUCGGAGCAACUCAGGGAAACUUGAGCUAAUACCGGAUGAGCCCUUAGGGGGAAAGAUUUAUCGCCGAAAGAGCGGCCCGCGUUAGAUUAGCUAGUUGGUGAGGUAAAGGCUCACCGAGGCUACGAUCUAUAGCUGGUCUGAGAGGAUGAUCAGCCACACUGGGACUGAGACACGGCCCAGACUCCUACGGGAGGCAGCAGUGGGGAAUCUUGCGCAAUGGGCGAAAGCCUGACGCAGCCAUGCCGCGUGAAUGAUGAAGGUCUUAGGAUUGUAAAAUUCUUUUACCAGGGACGAUAAUGACGGUACCUGGAGAAAAAGCCCCGGCUAACUUCGUGCCAGCAGCCGCAGUAAUAC